AAUGACCCGUCCAUUCGCCUUCUGAGCCAGCUGGCAAUCAUUCUCUUCUCUGAUCGCCACCCACCCACCCGCCUGCCCAAAACAGGUGUUGGCUCGAAGAGAUACCCAUCGCCCGAUCGCUGGAACCUACCUCCUCCAAGGAGGAGGAAACCAGGCAGCGAAUUCCUUCUUUCUCUCUCCCCCCCACUCCCCCGCAAAAAAGAAAAGCAAGCGGAAAGCAUGCCAGAGAAGGCUGUGUGUUCAAGCUAGACCGCAAAGACUCCUGUUUCUGGAUCAACUUCCUCUUGCUCAUCACUUGGCAGACCCUUGUGGGAAAUUGGUGAAGAGGAAGCUGAAGGUGGAUUUUCAAAGAUAUCUGCAUUUCCAAACAAAGCUUGGGGUUGCUUUAAAAAAAGCAUCAGGAAAAGGAAGCUGGAUUCACCAGAGAAGAUCCCC
rnacentral:lncRNA from 1 species